UGUGACCCUAAUCUUCAACAUAGU
rnacentral:siRNA from 1 species